UACGUAGGGGGCAAGCGUUGUCCGGAUUUAUUGGGCGUAAAGAGCGUGUAGGCGGCUUGGUAGGUCUCGCGUCAAAACCUGAGGCUCAACCUCAGUUCGCGUGGGAAACCACCUAGCUAGAGUCCGGAAGAGGAGAACGGAAUUCCCAGUGUAGCGGUGAAAUGCGUAGAUAUCAGGAGGAACACCUGUGGUGUAGACGGCUUCCUGGACCACAACUGACGCUGAGACACGAAAGCGUGGGGAGCAAACAGG
rnacentral:rRNA from 1 species